GAUGAACGUUGGCGGUGUGCCUAAUACAUGCAAGUCGAACGGAGUUAAUAGCAAUAUUGGCUCAGUGGCGAACGGGUGAGUAACGCGUUGGUGAUCUGCCUUGAAGUGUGGAAUAACGUUUCGAAAGAGACGCUAAUACCGCAUGUGCUCUCGAUUUUCAGAAAGUUGAGAGUAAAGGAUUUAUUCGCUUCAAGAGGAGCCUGCGUCCCAUCAGCUGGUUGGUAGGGUAACGGCCUACCAAGGCUAUGACGGGUAGGGGACCUGAGAGGGUGGCCCCCCACAAUGGAACUGAAACACGGUCCAUACACCUACGGGUGGCAGCAGUAGGGAAUAUUAGAAAUGGACGAAAGUCUGAUCUAGCAACACCGCGUGUGCGAAGAAGGCCUUGGGUCGUAAAGCACUUUUUGGAAGGAAUAGGAAGGAAUGUACUUCCAGAAUAAGUCUCGGCUAACUACGUG
rnacentral:rRNA from 1 species